GAGCGCUGCACUAACGCAGGAUCCGGCUGCCGAAGGUCCUCGCCAGCAGGAUGAAGUUAAAGGAAGUAGAUCGUACAGCCAUGCAGGCAUGGAGCCCUGCCCAGAAUCACCCCAUUUACCUAGCAACAGGAACAUCUGCUCAGCAAUUGGAUGCAACAUUUAGUACGAAUGCUUCCCUUGAGAUAUUUGAAUUAGACCUCUCUGAUCCAUCCUUGGAUAUGAAAUCUUGUGCCACAUUCUCCUCUUCUCACAGGUACCACAAGUUGAUUUGGGGGCCUUAUAAAAUGGAUUCCAAAGGAGAUGUCUCUGGAGUUCUGAUUGCAGGUGGUGAAAAUGGAAAUAUUAUUCUCUAUGAUCCUUCUAAAAUUAUAGCUGGAGACAAGGAAGUUGUGAUUGCCCAAAAUGACAAGCAUACUGGCCCAGUGAGAGCCUUGGAUGUGAACAUUUUCCAGAGAUUAAUACUCUAUGAAAUAAUUAGAAAUUAAAUGUAAUGGCUGGGCAUGUGGCUCACACCUGUGUAAUCCCAGCACUUUGAGAGGCCGAGGCAGGCAGAUCACGAGGUCAGGAGUUCGAGACCAGCCUGGCCAACGUGGUAAAACCCCGUCUCUACUAAAAAUACAAAAAUUAGCCGGGCAUGGUGGCAGGCACCUGUAAUCCCAGCUAUUCGGGAGUCUGAGGCAGGAUAAUCGCUUGAACCCGGGAGGCGGAGAUCGCCGUGAGUUGAGAUCGUGCCAUUGCACUCCAGCCUGGGCAACGAGCAAAACUCAAAAAAAGAAAAAAAGAACAAAGAAAUGUAAUGCAGAUUUAACAAAUAGUCAAUUAAGAUUCUUUGUACUGUUGCCUUCAUAAACAUUUCUGGUUGUUAAUUAUACAAAUGCACAGCUUAAUAACGAUCUUAGCCUGAACAGGAUGGUGAAACCCUGUCAUUACAAAA
rnacentral:sRNA from 1 species